CUUUAACAGAAAGACAGUCAGAGCAGGGACCCCUUACUACAUAUUGUAUAAAAUUAAGUUGCAUAUUAAACUGGGCCAAUAACUGUUAGGGCAACAUAAAGCCAUUCUUACAUGCCCUUAUUGCAUAAACUAUUAAAGUCUGAAUUGUUGGCGUGAUGUUAUAAAGUAUCUUUUAAUGUUACACAUCUGGCACAGUGAAUCUAGGAUGAACUGUAUCUGUGGGGUGCUAUCUUAGUGACCACCUUACCCAUAGGCCAGUAAGUCUUUCGUCACUGGGAAUUUAUAUUUGCCAAGUCUAUGUUGGAAUUAUGUAAUCGAUUUUUUUUUUUUUAAAGACUUUCAAAAAUUGACAAUAAUUUGGUGGCAACGACGCUGAGAACCCCCCUAGGGGUCCCAGACUCCCUGUUGAAGAUCUCUGCAGCUCUAGCAUUGUACGCAGUAGAAUAACUUGAACUUUGAUUUUAACAUUAUCUGCCAUAGUAAAAUUUAAAAACAUUAUCUACAUAAUCAUGUUAUUUUGCUAACAUCAUGCAUUGUUACGCAGAAAAUUGAUUUAUCUUACGCAUGGGUUAGCAAACAUUC